rnacentral:rRNA from 1 species
AUACAGAGGUUGCAAGCGUUGUUCGGAUUCAUUGGGCGUAAAGGGUGUGUAGGUGGUCAUGUUAGUCAGAUGUGAAAUACCGAGGCUUAACCUCGGAACUGCAUUUGAUACUGCAAGACUAGAGUAUGUUAGAGGAAAGGGGAAUUCCAGGUGUAAGGGUGAAAUCUGCAGAUAUCUGGAGGAACACCAGUGGCGAAGGCGCCUUUCUGGGACAAUACUGACACUGAAACACGAAAGCUAGGGUAGCAAACGGGAUUAGAUACCCCUGUAGUCC